UAGGGAAUAUUGCAAAAUGGGCGAAAGCCCGAUGCAGCAACGCCGCGUGGGCGAUGAAGGCCUUCGGGUCGUAAAGCCCUUUUUGAGGGGAUGAGGAAGGACAGUACCCUCAGAAUAAGCCUCGGCUAACUACGUGCCAGCAGCCGCGGUAAAACGUAGGAGGCGAGCGUUAUCCGGAUUUACUGGGCGUAAAGCGCGUGCAGGCGGAUUGGAGAGUUGGAUGUGAAAGCUCCCGGCUUAACUGGGAGAGGUCGUUCAAUACUUCCAGUCUGGGGUGCAGGAGAGGGAAGUGGAAUUCCGGGUGUAGUGGUGAAAUGCGUAGAUAUCCGGAGGAACACCAGUGGCGAAAGCGGCUUCCUGGACUGUAACUGACGCUCAGACGCGAAAGCUAGGG
rnacentral:rRNA from 1 species